UACGUAGGAUGCAAGCGUUGUCCGGAUUUAUUGGGUUUAAAGGGUGCGUAGGCGGCUUGGUAAGUCAGAGGUGAAAGCCCGCGGCUUAACUGCGGAACUGCCUUUGAUACUGCCGAGCUUGAAAGAGGUUGAGGUCAGCGGAACGUGACAUGUAGCGGUGAAAUGCAUAGAUAUGUCACAGAACACCAAUUGCGAAGGCAGCUGGCUGGGCCUACUUUGACGCUGAGGCACGAAAGCGUGGGGAGCGAACAGG
rnacentral:rRNA from 1 species